rnacentral:lncRNA from 1 species
GGUAGAUGAACAGUGUUUCUCUCUUCAUACCAUAACUAAGAAUAUGAAAGAGAAUGAGUUGCUGAAGGUCACCAAGAGAAUUCACGGCAGAGAUCCCGGAGUUGCUGAAGCAACUGUAAAACAUCCAAGAGCUUUUCUUCCACCAGUGACAGCCUUACUCUCUCUGUCUCCAACAUCUGGAAUUCCAUCUUCAUCAGCUCAGAUUCCUCGGCCUUCUGUUGUAUUUCCCCUAGCAAUGGGCCUUUCGUCUAGACAACAGAUAACAUAAAAAGUAUUGUGUAGCAC